UAGCAUAUCAAUAAGCGGAGGAAAAGAAACCAACCGGGAUUGCCCUAGUAACGGCGAGUGAAGCGGCAAGAGCUCAAAUUUGAAAGCUGGCUCCUUCGGGGUCCGCAUUGUAAUUUGCAGAGGAUGCUUCGGGAGCGGUCCCCAUCUAAGUGCCCUGGAACGGGCCGUCAUAGAGGGUGAGAAUCCCGUAUGGGAUGGGGUGCCCGCGCCCGUGUGAAGCUCCUUCGACGAGUCGAGUUGUUUGGGAAUGCAGCUCUAAUUGGGUGGUAAAUUUCAUCUAAAGCUAAAUAUUGGCCGGAGACCGAUAGCGCACAAGUAGAGUGAUCGAAAGAUGAAAAGCACUUUGAAAAGAGAGUUAAACAGCACGUGAAAUUGUUGAAAGGGAAGCGCUUGCGAUCAGACUCGCUCGCGGGGUUCAGCCGGCCUUCGGGCCGGUGUACUUCCCCGCGGGCGGGCCAGCGUCGGUUUGGGCGGCCGGUCAAAGGCCCCUGGAAUGUAACGCCUCUCGGGGCGUCUUAUAGCCAGGGGUGCCAUGCGGCCUGCCCGGACCGAGGAACGCGCUUCGGCUCGGACGCUGGCAUAAUGGUCGUAAGCGACCCGUCUUGAAACACGGACCAAGGAGUCUAACAUCUACGCGAGUGUUCGGGUGUCAAACCCGUGCGCGCAGUGAAAGCGAACGGAGGUGGGAACCCCCCGGGGUGCACCAUCGACCGAUCCUGAUGUCUUCGGAUGGAUUUGAGUAAGAGCGUAGCUGUUGGGACCCGAAAGAUGGUGAACUAUGCCUGAAUAGGGCGAAGCCAGAGGAAACUCUGGUGGAGGCUCGCAGCGGUUCUGACGUGCAAAUCGAUCGUCAAAUUUGGGUAUAGGGGCGAAAGACUAAUCGAACCAUCUAGUAGCUGGUUCCUGC
rnacentral:rRNA from 1 species